AUGGGCGAGUGGAGCUCCACUCUCAAACCGGAAAUACGUCACCUCCACUUGAAAACAUCAAGAUGGCGUCGCCGGGAGUACUUCAAACUUAAACUCAGCCCAGCAAUCAGAUGCAUCAGAACAACAAAGCACAACUGUGGUGGACCAGGCACCUUCAGCAACAAAGAUUUAACAACACUGUCAGUCAGGAGCAUAUUUAACAGGAGGCACACUUCAGCUGGCUCGAUGGUGACUUCAGUAAGUGUGGUCAACCCUAUUGUUUUUGUGGCUAUAACAAUUAGACUAAGUAAUCUCACUCUCUUCCAUUUCCUUAACAUUACCCUUUUUUUGUUGAUACUGAACCGGUGCAGUGAAGAAAUUUAAAGAGACACUAUCUAAAGUACAGAAAGCCGUACAUAAUCUCUAGGUGCAGUCGCCUACAGUGCAGCCAGCUUCACAAAGACUGUGGGGCUGGUCACCAGGAAAAUGGGCAACAAGGAGUGCUUUUGGGGUUUUACUCCUCAGAUAACCACCCUGGCUACUGUAGCUGGGAUUGCUUCACAGACAAUGGAGGUCUUGAAGAGUAAAGUGUGCGUGCAUGUGAACACAUUGUGUUAUUACAGUAACAAUUAUGGUCACUUGCAGUUCAUGUGUUUUCAAUGUAGUGUAAGAUGUGUUAAUUAUUAUUAUUACUCAAAAACCAUUAAAACUUCUAAAUUGUGGAAGUUAUUCUUCAUUAUUUUACUGUGGUUAUUUUGUAUAUGUUGUUAUUUUGAUUAAAAUACAAAAUUCAACACACAUAAUUCUGGUUGAGGUAUUAUUUAAAUAAUUUAUUUAAUAUUUCAUUUAUUUGUCACUGCUAAAUAUUAAAAACAUAAGGUUAACUUUCUAAAAUGUAUGGAAUGUUACAUUGGCAGUUGUACACUGGUAAAACAAACAUGAACAAAUUGAUGUCAUAAACCGUAAAAGAUUAGUAUAUAUAUAUAUAUUUUUUUUUCUACUAGGUAAAAGUAACAAAGAUAAAAGUACAGAACAUAUUAACAUUACGUACAAAGAGGUGACAUAACUGGCAAAGCACCCUUUAUACGUGUAUAUAACAAGUAAUACAAAACGAAAGUUUGGUGGUAGUGACAUAUUUUCCCUCUUAAAUGGAGCUCCACUCGCCCCCAUGGAGGCGACGUAAUUCUACGUAAAGUGUUACCCGGACCAACAUGGCGGCCGCGUCAUUAGUGGAGGCGACGUAAUUCUACGGAAAGUGUGGCCCGGUCCAACAUGGCGGCGGCGUCCCUAGUGGAGGUGACGUAUUUCCGCUCUUGAGUGGAGCUCCACUCGCCCAUAUGUCUGCAGCCAGACCCUCUUGCGCACACCGGAAGUUUGGAUUUUGUUGUUACACUGGAACUAAAAUGGCUGCUGUGAGUUUUUUUCAUUGAAGGCACUGGGACGUUUAUUCCGCUUCUUGCUUUGGAUUUCCUGCCUGUGGUGAUGCAACUGGACUGGCAAGUCGCUUGUGAUGUUUGUCGCCGCUGUCCCGCUCUGCCGCGCUCUGUCAGCUGCUCGUGUUCUGUGGAGCUGUGUAUUUGAAGUGAGCUGUUAGCUCUGGUUAGCCAGCCUGUCGUUUGCUGAAGCUGCAGUGCUGAAGUUUUGCCUUCUUCUGCUGGACUGAUAUUCCCUUGCAUUUCAUGAAUGCUUGCUAUUGCAUCCUUUAACACAUACUUUGUCAUCAUCCUGUAGAAGUUCGCCACUUUUGUUUAGCAGAAGUUGUGACUGCAUGUACAUACAGAUGCAUCACUGUCUGAAUGAGCUGAGUUCAUGUCUCAUACUCUGUGUCUUCGCGUUCAUACGCUUGUCGUUGGGCUUGAGUUUUGAAUGGAAACUGUCAGCUGACAGGAGCAUGCACCCUGGAGUGUGUUUCUG
rnacentral:lncRNA from 1 species